rnacentral:rRNA from 1 species
GACGAACGCUGGCGGCGUGCUUAACACAUGCAAGUCGAACGGAAAGGCCCUGCUUUUGUGGGGUGCUCGAGUGGCGAACGGGUGAGUAACACGUGAGUAACCUGCCCUUGACUUUGGGAUAACUUCAGGAAACUGGGGCUAAUACCGGAUAGGAGCUCCUGCUGCAUGGUGGGGGUUGGAAAGUUUCGGCGGUUGGGGAUGGACUCGCGGCUUAUCAGCUUGUUGGUGGGGUAGUGGCUUACCAAGGCUUUGACGGGUAGCCGGCCUGAGAGGGUGACCGGCGACAUUGGGACUGAGAUACGGCCCAGACUCCUACGGGAGGCAGCAGUGGGGAAUAUUGAACAAUGGGCGGAAGCCUGAUGCAGCAACGCCGCGUGCGGGAUGACGGCCUUCGGGUUGUAAACCGCUUUCGCCUGUGACGAAGCGUGAGUGACGGUAAUGGGUAAAGAAGCACCGGCUAACUACGUG